AUGCUCAUUUCAGCAGCCCAUAUGCUAAAUUUAGAACUGUACAGAGAUUAGCAUGCUCCUGAGCAGGAAUGACAUUCAAAUUUUUGAAUCUUUUCGAAUUUUA